CUACGGGGGGCUGCAGUGGGGAAUAUUGGACAAUGGGGGAAACCCUGAUCCAGCAAUGCCGCGUGUGUGAAGAAGGCCUGCGGGUUGUAAAGCACUUUCGGUUGGGAGGACUGCUUCUAGCACUAAUAUUGUUGGAAGUUGACGUUACCUUCAGAAGAAGCACCGGCUAACUCCGUGCCAGCAGCCGCGGUGAAUACGGGGGGUGCAAGCGUGAAUCGGAAUUACUGGGCGUAAAGCGCGCGUAGGCGGCUAGAUCAGUUGGGUGUGAAAGCCCCGGGCUUAACCUGGGAACUGCAUCCGAUACUGUCUAGCUUGAGUACAGGAGAGGAGAGUGGAAUUCCACAUGUAGCGGUGAAAUGCGUAGAUAUGUGGAGGAACACCAAUGGCGAAGGCAGCUCUCUGGCCUGAUACUGACGCUGAGGUGCGAAAGCGUGGGGAGCAAACAGGAUUAGAUACCCGCGUAGUC
rnacentral:rRNA from 1 species